GAUGAAGAACGCAGCGAAAUGCGAUAAGUAAUGCGAAUUGCAGAAUCCGUGAGUCAUCGAAUCUUUGAACGCACAUUGCGCCCUGUGGUAUUCCGCAGGGCAUGCCUGUUCGAGCGUCAUUUCAACCCUCAAGCUCUGCUUGGUGUUGGGCCCUGCCCGCUGCGGCCGGCCCUAAAGACAGUGGCGGUGCCGCCUGGCCCUGAGCGUAGUACAUCUCUCGCUCCAGUGCCCGGUGGUAGCCUGCCAGAACCCCAACUCUCGUGGUUGACCUCGGAUCAGGUAGGGAUACCCGCUGAACUUAAGCAUAUCAAUAAGCGGAGGA
rnacentral:misc_RNA from 1 species